rnacentral:rRNA from 1 species
GAUGAACGCUGGCGGCGUGCCUAAUACAUGCAAGUCGAGCGAAUGGAUUAAGAGCUUGCUCUUAUGAAGUUAGCGGCGGACGGGUGAGUAACACGUGGGUAACCUGCCCAUAAGACUGGGAUAACUCCGGGAAACCGGGGCUAAUACCGGAUAACAUUUUGAACCGCAUGGUUCGAAAUUGAAAGGCGGCUUCGGCUGUCACUUAUGGAUGGACCCGCGUCGCAUUAGCUAGUUGGUGAGGUAACGGCUCACCAAGGCAACGAUGCGUAGCCGACCUGAGAGGGUGAUCGGCCACGCUGGGACGGAGACACGGCCCAGACUCCUACGGGAGGCAGCAGUAGGGAAUCUUCCGCAAUGGACGAAAGUCUGACGGAGCAACGCCGCGUGAGUGAUGAAGGCUUUCGGGUCGUAAAACUCUGUUGUUAGGGAAGAACAAGUGCUAGUUGAAUAAGCUGGCACCUUGACGGUACCUAACCAGAAAGCCACGGCUAACUACGUGCCAGCCGCCGCCGUAA